rnacentral:pre_miRNA from 1 species
GUACCACUCGCUCGGUCCUAAAAUUCUUGUUUUAGAUUUACGUAGAUAUGAAUGUAUCUAGUCACAUUUUAGUAUUUAGAUAUAUCCAUUUUUAUAUAAACCUAAGACAAAAAUUUUAGAACGGAGGAAAUAUACA